UCCGGCUUAUCACCGGCAGUCCCACUAGAGUGCCCAACUGAAUGAUGGCAACUAAGGACGGGGGUUGCGCUCGUUGCGGGACUUAACCCAACAUCUCACGACACGAGCUGACGACAGCCAUGCAGCACCUGUGUUCCGGCCCAUUGCUGGGAGGAAUCCAUCUCUGGAAACCGACCGGACAUGUCAAGCCCAGGUAAGGUUCUUCGCGUUGCGUCGAAUUAAACCACAUGCUCCGCUGCUUGUGCGGGUCCCCGUCAAUUCCUUUGAGUUUUAGCCUUGCGGCCGUACUCCCCAGGCGGGGCACUUAAUGCGUUAGCUGCGGCACGGAAGACGUUGAUAAUCCCCCACACCUAGUGCCCAACGUUUACGGCGUGGACUAC
rnacentral:misc_RNA from 1 species